rnacentral:lncRNA from 1 species
UCAUGAAUUGCUAGCAUCUUUACUCUCAAGGAUCGGACAUGACCCCAAAAAUACCCUCUGUCGCUGCCCGGCUCCCCAAAGAAGCUCACAGGACUAACAUAGACAUAACAUGGUGUCUGGUCCACAGAGAGCUCACAUGGACUUUCCUACAGGUACUCGUCCGGCUCUCAAAGGACUUAGACAAGACUCAAUGACAGAUAUGGGCUAUUGGAGUCGCCUUGGUCCAAACCUACCUCAGCAUCAACAUGAAAUAAUGCAAUGCAACAUAUUCGUGAACUAGUGCAAUCAACCUACUAUACAUGAUCAUGAUGCAUGCUCAUGCUUUAGGCAUUAGAAUUUCUUAAAAUAAAACAUUAAGUUUAGUUCUACUCACCUCCUGGCAGACGCCGACUGACUCUGCACCUGCUAGCACUACUGGCCUCCUCGGUCCCUCGGGUCCGAUCCUACACAGGUGGACUCGAAUGAGGUGCCAAACACAUCCUAACAACUCAUAAACAACUCCCCAAAAACCUCUCUAAACAUCACUUAAACAUGCAUGGAAAACACCCAAGAAACGGCUGGACAGGGCACUUUCGGCGGCACCUUCGGCGGCCGAAAGUCCCUUCCAGAGACGAAACUCGGGCAGGUUCGGCGGCAGGUUCGGCGGCCGAAACCCUUGGACAGAUCCGAAAGUCCCUCCUUCGGGGGCACAUUC